GACGAACGCUGGCGGCGUGCUUAACACAUGCAAGUCGAACGGAAAGGCCCUGCUUUUGUGGGGUGCUCGAGUGGCGAACGGGUGAGUAACACGUGAGUAACCUGCCCUUGACUUUGGGAUAACUUCAGGAAACUGGGGCUAAUACCGGAUAGGAGCUCCUGCUGCAUGGUGGGGGUUGGAAAGUUUCGGCGGUUGGGGAUGGACUCGCGGCUUAUCAGCUUGUUGGUGGGGUAGUGGCUUACCAAGGCUUUGAUGGGUAGCCGGCCUGAGAGGGUGACCGGCCACAUUGGGACUGAGAUACGGCCCAGACUCCUACGGGAGGCAGCAGUGGGGAAUAUUGCACAAUGGGCGGAAGCCUGAUGCAGCAACGCCGCGUGCGGGAUGACGGCCUUCGGGUUGUAAACCGCUUUCGCCUGUGACGAAGCGUGAGCGACGGUAAUGGGUAAAGAAGCACCGGCUAACUACGUG
rnacentral:rRNA from 1 species